rnacentral:misc_RNA from 1 species
GAAGUCCGAGUAGGCAUGUAUGCACUUCUGUGUGCAAAAGUUUUAAGCAUUAAGACCAAUUAGUUGUAAGAGAAUGAAAUGGAAUACAUAAAUGGAAUACAUAAAUGGAAAAAUAGAACUACCAAAAGUUUACAACUCAAAAAAGGAUUAAUCUGUAAGAAAGAUAAAACCACACAUGGGAUAUGAGUCAAUGACAAGAAAACUAAGAAUGCAACAGCCUGCACACAAAAUUGAUGAAUUUAUACUUCGUGCUGAUCACAUACAAAUGCAAAUGCAAUUCACUACAAAUGCAAAUGGAAAGAAAACAAAUACAAAUGCAAUUCACUAUUCAGGUAGAACAGGAAAAGAAACAAAGGUUAGGUCUGCAUUGCAAGAAAACCAAAAAACUCAUUACGAAAAGAAGCUAUAAUUGCACUUACACUUGCUUAUGUUUUGUAUGCUAU